rnacentral:rRNA from 1 species
UACAGAGGGUGCGAGCGUUGUCCGGAAUCACUGGGCGUAAAGGGCGCGUAGGUGGUGGCUUAAGCGUGCGGUGAAAGCUCGGGGCUCAACCCCGAGUCGGCCGUGCGAACUGGGCUCACUGGAGCAUAGUAGAGGCAGGUGGAAUUCCGCGUGUAGCAGUGAAAUGCGUAGAGAUGCGGAGGAACACCGAUGGCGAAGGCAGCCCCCUGGGCUAACACUGACGCUCAGGCACGAAAGCGUGGGGAGCAAACAGG